GGCAGCAUCUGGCAGCUGUCCUAAAGAGGGAAGAGGGAACUACUAAGGAAGAAAAUAACCCAGGGCAUAGCAGCUUACACUUCUAAUCCCAGCAUUAAGGAGACUGAGGCAGGAGGAUUGUUGCAAGUUUUAUAUCAGCAGCUGGUCCCUGGCCAGCUGGCUGCAGAGCAAGACCUUGUCUCAAAAAAACAAAAAUAAAAGAAGAAGCUAGUAAUGGGUCAUGAGAGGUAGAAGCGUAUCCAGCCUGGGACCAGAGCUCUGUCUUACAGUCUUGCCCAGUCUGUGGGCUUGGGACACCUCAUACUUGUUCUUUACAAUGUCGCAGCCAUUCCCGAGGAAGCCUUCUCUUUGGAAAAAAGGAAAGACGGGAGAAGUGGACCAGUGAGAGCGGUAGAGGAGCCAGGAUUCAAACCAGGGCGACGGGCUCCACAAGUCCUGAUGGUUUUCACUGAUUCCAUUCUCCAAACUAAGAACCAAGAGCCCUAACCUUAAGGGAAAGCUUUGCCGGCACAACCGACACUGCGGACCGGCCGUCAUCUCGCCUCCUCUCCUGCAACAAAACAGAUUACAGCUGGGUGACCCUGUGGUAACUGCGUGUACGAUUGAUUUGAACUUAAAUCCUAGGCAGAGUCGCUCAAGAUUCCUCUCCUAAUGAUAUCAGAGCUGAGUCUCAGGUAACUUCUUGGCCCCACAAACUUCACCGAGAUGUAGCAAAAAUUCAGACGGAUGGAACCAAGGCUGCAGGAACUGGCAAGAACACCACAAGGUGGUUUUCUUAAUUGAGCCACUAAAGAGGCCUGUUUGGUCUAAAUAAACACAUGUUGGAAUUAAUGCCAACUUGCCUGGAGACUGAUAGCAGAUUCCACAUUGCCAAAAUGGGGUCAAAGGGGCGAUUUCACCGAGUAUUUGUGUAUGUUGUGUCAUAUAUAAACAACCAGUAAAAGCCAGGUGUGGUGGUAAACAUCCAGAAUCCCAGUUCUCUGGAGGGAAAAGCAGGAGGAUCCGAAUUCAAGGCCAGCCUGGGACAGAGGGCAGGACCACAUCUCAGAACAACCAAACAACCAGGGAUGUAUGAUGGUUAAUCCUGGUCACCAACUUGACACAUCUGGCAAAAGAGAAUAUCAGUUGAAGAGCAGCCUCUGUCAGCUUGGCCUGCAUGGCAUUUUUCUUGAUGACUGAUGGAUGGGAGAGGACCCAGCUGACUACGGCCAUUGCAACCCUGGGCAAAUGGUCCUUGGUAGUCGACGAAAGCAGGCUAAACGGAAGCAGAUGAAGCAAGCCAGUGAGCAGUGUUCCUCCACAGUCUGCACCUCUCUCCCUUCCCUGAGGUCUUGUCCUAGCUUCCUUUCAUGAUGGACUGCAACCUGUAAACCAAAUAGACCCCGUCCUCCCCACGUGCUCUCUGUCAGUGUCCUCUCACACUCAACGUCGGACAAGGGGCCUGUACGUUCACACCAGCAGGAUGGACUGAAAAGGGCAAAAGCAAGAAGGCUCUCAUGUAAGGACAUGCUGCUCACUAAGUUCACGAUAAAGGCUGACUAUUGUCAUCAUUAUUAGUCGUAAUAAUUCUUACUCUCCAGGUAGGGCAGAGCGCAGCAGACCAAGGCAGGAAGUUUGCUGAGUGUGAGUCCAGCUAGGACUACAUUGUGAAAUGUUGUGUAAGAUGAUGAUGACGAUGAUGACGACGACAAUGACGAUGAUAAAUCUGAGCUAAAAGGGAUGAAAAAUCAAUGCACAAAGUGACAACAGGGGAAAAAAGGAGAAAGAGCUAUGUAGUAGCUAUGAAGCAGUGUAAUUAACAGAAUUGGGUGAGAAGGAGGAGGAAGAAAAGAAGAUGUGGUAGUGGUGGCAGUGAGCUAGACCCCCAUAGCCAAAUGAACCAUGGGACCAGUUUGAGGCUGGAAGACUCAUGAGAAACAACAGCUCUGAGGAAAAGAUAAAUCCAGUUUGAUCCUUAUAAAUGUAAAGGGGCCUAAAAACAUCUGAAUAUUAUCGAUUGGGCUACUAGAUCAGUCCCUCCAAAAUUCCCAGGCAAAAAGCCUUUGGGUAUCCUCAGUUGAAAGGUGAUAUAAAAGGUGAAUUUUCUCAGCAGAGACCAAGGGCAGGAUGGAGGGAAAGCGAAGUCUAGAAGGUUGCUUGAUAACCGUUCAGAAUGUCAGCACAUGGACUUACUUGGAAAAAGGAAUCCGGCAUCGAUCAACUGAGACAAAGCUCUCGGGAAAGGGUCAAUCCACUCUGACUGGUGUCCUUACAAAGAGAAAACUGGAACAGAGGCAUGUGCUCAGAGAGCAGCACUGGAGGAUGGAGGCAGAGAUCCCGGCAAGGAUUUUAAAGGCGGAGGAACCAAGUGCACAGUCCCGUCGACUCCCUCCUCUGACCUCCAGUGACAGCAGCUGGAGAAAGCCAGAAAAAUGUGACAGCACCAAGUCAGAAAACAAAACCAAAAACCUUCAAAGGUCACAGCUGACAAGUGUGACGAAGAAAAAAAUGGCUCUGGUAAUGGAGUCAUCGGCGGCCUUGAGAAGAACAGGCUAUAAGAGUACAAGUGGAAACCAGAUGGCUAGGAAGAAGAAAGUCAAAUUUUGCAAAACUCUGUGGAAGGUAAGAGGAAUUGAAAUGGAGUUAGUGCGGGAUUACUGUGUUGUGUUCUUUCCCCGCCCUUCCUACUUCCGUAGGCACAGUCUCGAGGUGUUGCCCAGGCUGACUUUGAACCCCUGAUCUCAAGUCAUCCUUCUAUUUAAGCUUAUGUAGUUGUGGCUACGGGUGCAUGUUGUCAUGCUUGUCUCUGUGUAACUACUUCAUGGUGAGGGCAAAUGACUGCUGGAAGACUAAGGUUGCUUGCCCUUUGAGAAAGGGUUUCACAUCGCUGAGGGCAGCCUCAAACUGUGACACUUCUGCCUCUACCCCCAAGUUCUGGGAUUACAGAUAUGGGCCACCAUAAGCAGCUGAGCCAAGGCUUGAGGAGAAGAUGCCAAAGAGAAUCACAAGGAAGGAAAAGAGAGUUUUCUGGAGCAUCCUCUUCUUCCAUUCCCCAGCUACGGCAUGCGUGUCGCGCUCUAACCUGGAUCUGUUUGAGCCAGAGACCACAAGUCUUCAGGGAUAUGUAAAGUAGACCCUAGGAGUUCUCUGAGUUCUAUCAAGCUUAUGUCAAGACCUGAAGAACAACAGUUUACAUCUCUGCCUGCUCAAGCCAUUUCCUGCUGGGACCUGUGAGAAAGGCACUAGAGCUCAAGUGACAAUUCCCUACUGUAACUAUCUGCCUUUGGGCCAUUGUCCCAUUGCUAGUACCAAAAUCUAAGAGAAAGGCUGAUAUUUUACAAACUACUAAUAAACAUCCAGUAGCUGGCAGGCACUGUCCUGAGUAAUGAGGUCAGAACAGCUGUGGUAGUUUCUAAAAAACAUUUUAAAAAUAUUUUACAAUCAUUUCUUCAAACAAUAGAGCCUAACUCCUCUUCCUUUCAAUGCUGGCCAGGCCUAAUGACUCACUCCUGACAAGCAGAUACAGCAAAGGCCAUGUUUGACUUCUGAGAAUAGGCCAUAAAAGUCAAGGAAUCCAUCUUCCUCUUUUCCCAGUAAUGAACCACUUGCUCUAAGGAAACCAGUUACCGUAUCAUAGGGAUACUCAAGUAGCUCUGUGGUCAUGGCCAUGUGGUAAUCCAACAGCACGAAAAUGUGCCAUCCUGGAAGCCCUUCAGAUACCUGCAGCCUCAGCCAACAUCUUGACUGACUUCAUGACAGACCCCGAAGGCACAACCACCCAGGCCAACAAUUCCCAACCUACAGGGGUUAUUGAAUGUCUGGUUCUUUGUUUAAUAAAAUAAAAUAUAAUAAGAUAAAAGCUAACACAUUGGAAUUGGACAAAACAAGCAAACAGAGGGGAAAGAGCCCAAGAGAAGGCACAAGAAACAGACCCACUCAUUCUCGCACUCAGGACAAAACAACACUAAUCUGGAAGCCAUAAUACAUACACAGAGGACCUGGUACAGACCAGUGCAGGCCCUGUGCAUGCUGCCUUGUGAGGAGGUCUCAGUGAGCUCAUAUGAGCCUUGCCCAGCUGAUUCAGAGGGCCUAGUUUUUUUGGUGUCUUCCAUCCCCUCUGGUUCUUAAAUUCUUUCCACCUCUUCAAGGGAUUCUCUAAGCCCCGAGGGGAGGGGUUUUAUGGAGACAUCCCAUUUAGAGCUGAGUGUUCCAGAUCUCUCACUCUGCAUAACGGCUACCUGUGAAUUUCUGUAUUGGUUGCAUCCAGCUGCAGGAGGCCUCUGCUCUAACGCCUGCUGAGCAAAGCCAUGGAUGCAUCUGCUUCUUUGGCUUGAGUCAUCUGGUGUUGUCUUAACUCACUAAAUUCUGAGGUAAUUUAUUAGACAGGAGUAGACACACCAAGAGAUGAGAUAAACAUGGUCCUUGUCCUCAUUCUGGCAACAGAUAAUAAUAACCUGUUACUGAACAAAUGUAGAAAGAAUGUGAGUGAUGCUAUCCAGCAAAUACUGAAAGGAAGGAAGAGUAAAGCAGGGAUGGGGGCAGCAAGAAACAGGGAAAUGGCAGAAAAUGAAAAUAAUCAAAUAAACACCAACAGAGUCUACAUGGUUCAAAGUUUCGCAGUAUUUACGACCUGGUCUAUUUGAUUCUAAUAUCACAAUCUAAAACAUUAGGACUUCCUGCCAACACCAAGUGGGUGGGUUUUGUUGUGUCAACUAUAUUGGUUGUGACUAGAAAAUUGCUUUGGAGUUAUUUUGUCGCCAGAAAGUGGGAUGGCGUUUUAUUAUGACAAGCAAAGAGGUUGCCCCAUGGUCGUGGGCUCUGGAGCUGUAAAAUCCAGUGUGUUCGGGUCAGUGGUAAAACAUCACGGCCAAGGCAACUUAUAAAAGAAAGCGUUUAACCUGGGGCUUCUAGUUUGCAUUCCAUUAGAGCAAAGACAUGGUGGUGGGAACAGCUGAGAGCUUACAUCUCGAUCCACAAAUAGGAGGCAGAGGUACAGAAGUGGCACAGGUCCACCCUAGCAACGCACCUCCUCCAAUGAGGCCACACCCUCUAAUCCUUCCCAAACAGUUCCACCAACUGGGGGAUCAAGUAUUCAAAUACCUGAGCCUGUGAGGGCCGUUCUCAUUCAUGCUACCACACACGGCAGCCCAAACGUCCCACUAACUUUGGCAAAUGGCAUGCAGAAACUAACGUGUGUGUGUGUGUGUGUGUGUGUGUGUGUGUGUGUGUGUGUAGGGGGGUCCAGGAAGAGAGAGAGAGACGCAGAGGCAGAUUGAUAGAUAAGGACCAAAUGGACUGGAGGGUUGCACACCAUGAGGCUGGCGAUGCCUCCUUUUACUUACGCUAAUU